rnacentral:rRNA from 1 species
GGACGGGGCCCGCACAAGCGGUGGAGUAUGUGGUUUUAAUUCGAUGCAACGCGAAGAACCUUACCUGGGGUUUUGACAUCCCGCGAAUCUCCAGGAAACUGGGGAGUGCCCUUCGGGGAGCGCGGAGACGGGUGCUGCAUGGCUGUCGUCAGCUCGUGUCGUGAGAUGUUCAGUUAAGUCCGCUAACGAGCGCAACCCUCACUGUGUGUUAUAUGUGUCACACGGGACUGCCGGUUUUAAGCCGGAGGAAGGUGGGGAUGACGUCAAGUCAGCAUGGCCUUUAUAUCCUGGGCUACACACACGCUACAAUGGGAAGGGACAAUAGGUUGCGAAGCCGCGAGGCGGAGCCAAUCCAGCAAAACUUCCCUCAGUUCAGAUUGCAGGCUGCAACUCGCCUGCAUGAAGUUGGAGUUGCUAGUAAACGCAGGUCAGCCAUACUGCGUUGAAUACGUUCCCGGGCCUU